GGCUCAGGACGAACGCUGGCGGCGUGCUUACACAUGCAAGUCGAGCGGAGAUUGCAUUUAUGUAAUCUUAGCGGCGGACGGGUGAGUAACGCGUAGGCAACCUGCCUUGCACAGAGGGAUAACACCGGGAAACUGGUGCUAAUACCACAUGAUAUCAUAACAAGGCAUCUUGAAAUGAUCAAAGGAGAAAUCCGGUGCAAGAUGGGCCUGCGUCCGAUUAGUUAGUUGGUGAGGUAACGGCUCACCAAGGCGACGAUCGGUAGCCGAACUGAGAGGUUGAUCGGCCACAUUGGGACUGAGACACGGCCCAGACUCCUACGGGAGGCAGCAGUGGGGAAUAUUGCGCAAUGGGGGGAACCCUGACGCAGCAACGCCGCGUGAAGGAAGAAGGCCUUCGGGUUGUAAACUUUUUCGAUUGGGGAAGAAAAAAAUGACGGUACCCAAGGAACAAGCCACGGCUAACUACGUGCCAGCAGCCGCGGUAAUACGUAGGUGGCGAGCGUUGUCCGGAAUUACUGGGUGUAAAGGGCGUGUAGGCGGGAUUGUAAGUCAGAUGUGAAAUUCCAGGGCUUAACUCUGGAGGUGCAUCUGAAACUAUAAUCCUUGAGUGCUGGAGAGGAAAGCGGAAUUCCUAGUGUAGCGGUGAAAUGCGUAGAUAUUAGGAAGAGCACCAGUGGCGAAGGCGGCUUU
rnacentral:rRNA from 1 species